UGCUCUCCGCCCUGAAACAGCUUUUCUGUCCGCCUGUCCUGGCCGUCAGGAGUGUGUGACGUCCACUGCGGCCCGCACGGUGCAGACCCCCUCAGCGCGAAGCUCCACCCGGCCGUGAGGGGCUGAGUGGCUGUGAGGAGAGGGCGGGUGCCUGUGGUGAUGCUGAAGACUUGGAUCGUGAUUCACUAGAGCUCAAAAUGGCGACACGGGAAAGAAGUCGGAGGUGACGAACGUACCUCAGAUGUGGUAGAGCAGAUGCUUUCACAGGCGUUGUUUCAAGUCACCCUCGCAAAACCCCGGGAGGCGGGCCUUUAAAUCACCAUCCUAAAGACGGAAAAGACACCCUGACAAGAGGCUUGCCCAAUAUCACACAGCCGGUUGAUGGAAGAGGCGUGACUCGAACCCAAGUUCCCUGUUCUUUUUUUAAAACGAGUUUAGGGUUUAGGGUUUAUUUCUCUGAUGGGUCACUACUAUAGAGGAACCAUGUUAAUACGUAGGAAAAGCUUUUCUGCCUUCAAGAGUGGCCCCUGAAAAGAUGGAUUGAAAACUUUAAAAGUGGAGAGGGAAAGCAACUGUUUUUGUCCUCAUUUUCAAACAUGUCCAUGGUGAAUAUUUAACUUAACAAAUAAGAGCAUUUGUAUAUCAAGCUAACAAACAUUGAGGCCUCCUCCACUUCUCUGCCUACUCUGUUGACCCGAUCAUCUGGACCACCCUUACUCUUGAGCAUCUACCAAUAAAAGAAGAGAAUUUCAGCUUGUUCUCAAAGAAUACCAAAAUAGUCUAAGAAAGAAAAAAAAAGUCUUAAGCUCUCAUAAGCACAUAAUCAGAUCUUACCAUCUUUCAUGGGGCCUAUUGUUUGGGGUUAUUUUGAGAACAGUAAGGAUCCUCUCCACCUACCCAAGCAAAUUUAAUCUGAAUACAACAGAGACAACUUUUUCAGUAGUUUAUCCACCGUGUCCCUCCGUCCAAAUUGAUCGAUGUGGAUGCGCAGAAGUGUAAUAAGAGCUCUCGGCCCCCAAACUCUUCCUGCCCGUGCAAAGCUUUCGAUGAAAGCAGAGAUUUAGCCCGCAUUUUCCUUGACACGGGGAACCGGAAUGGGGAAAAGCGAGCCCGGCGUGCGGAAC
rnacentral:lncRNA from 12 species